rnacentral:rRNA from 1 species
AUGCUAAUGUGCAAUGACACUGCAUUGUGGUUUCUCUGCAGAAUAUUUGUCAUGCCCUCGAGGAUGUGCCUUAGUUCAGUGCACAACACAAAGGGGAUAAUUGAUUCAAGCAACGCAACUUCAAAUCCAAGAUGGGAAACGAGCUAUUGUGCAAUGGAAUCCUUAUAUGAUAUAGACCUCAUAUCGAAGACUGUACCUGUUGUUUUGGACAAUCCGCGUUCAUGGUAUGGGAUAGUAUCAAGAAGUACAAAACUAGGAGAAGGAGACGUAGUGCACGUGCAAGGAGUUAGCAGAGAUGAACUCAAAGAUAAUCCACUUUACUCAGAUGCUCUUCUUGUAAACCGCACUGCAAGUCCUCUUGCUUGGUUUAUGGAGUGCAAGGAUCGGACCAAGCGUACCUCUGUGAUGUUACCAUACACUUUCCUGCCAACUAUGCCAGCUAGAAAACUGAGAGUUGCAGCACGUAAGAUAAAAGAGAUCCUUGGUGAAUAUGAUGCUAUUCAUGUCAGACGGGGUGACCUACUGAAGAAUAGGAAAGAUAGAUUUGGUGUUGAGAGGAGCCUUCAUCCUCAUCUGGACAGAGAUACCCGCCCUGAGUUCAUCAAAAGAAGAAUCGCAAAGUGGAUUCCAAAAGGUCGCACUCUUUUCAUUGCUUCAAAUGAAAGGACACCAGGCUUCUUCUCGCCUCUAUCAGACAGGUACAAGUUGGCAUACUCAUCUAACUUCAGUAGCAUAUUGGAGCCAAUAAUCGAGAACAAUUACCAGUUAUUCAUGGUGGAAAGGUUAAUCAUGCAAGGAGCAAAGACAUUUGUGAAGACAAUGAAAGAGCUGGAUAGUGAUCUUGCCCUCUGCGACGACCCCAAAAAGAACACCAAAAACUGGGAAGUGCCAGUUUACACUAGAUGA